rnacentral:lncRNA from 1 species
AAAGGGUGUUGAAACUCCUCUCCACGAUCUGCGCCUUUGCUAGAACAGCUGAAUGUGUCUUGAGCUCUAGUACAAAUAAGUGCCGCUUGAUCUCUGAGCGGAGGCCCCACUGGAACCUCCUGGCCUUUUUGCCCUCAUCCAACACUGUCUCAGGGGAGUAUCGGCCCAGCUUGAGGAACUUACGAGCAUAUUCCGACACCGUCAUGUUUCCCUGAACCAGCUGAACAAACUUCGUCUCCUUUAAAUGUCAGAUGUGCUCGGGGUGGUACUCCGCAUGAAAGGCUGCUAAGAACUGCUCCUAAGUGAUUGGCGUAGGCAGGGUGGUCUACUUGAGCUCCCACCAACGAUCUGCUUCCCCCAACAACAUGUAGGAAACAAGAGUAACCCUUUCCUCAGGAACCACUCCUAAGGUCUUGAAAGCCUUCUAUGUCUCCGCCAACCAGUACUGGGCAUCUUCGAAAGAGGACUCCCCUGCAAAAGU